rnacentral:rRNA from 1 species
UUAAAUUGAAGAGUUUGAUCAUGGCUCAGAUUGAACGCUGGCGGCAGGCCUAACACAUGCAAGUCGAGCGGCAGCGGGAAAGUAGCUUUCUACUUUUGCCGGCGAGCGGCGGACGGGUGAGUAAUGCCUGGGGAUCUGCCCAGUCGAGGGGGAUAACAGUUGGAAACGACUGCUAAUACCGCAUACGCCCUACGGGG